UCACUUUCCCAGCUUGUGUCACAGUUAGUUUCAGCAGGAUUCUGCAGGAUUUAGAUUUAGAGAAGGUCUCUUCUCAUGAUGGAUAUCUGUUUUAUAUUCUGAUCAGUCUGGAGUUCCAGUUGAAGAGAAAUGACUCAGAGGACUUAAAGCUGAGACAGACUGAGCACGCUCAGUUGCUGCUUCACCUGCCCCACCUCACACAGCUGACAGACAGGAUCACAUGGAGCAGAGGCCUGGACUACAAAGCAGGAUUUGGCGAUACCGAGUUAACUUCAGGUUCAACCAGGGUUUUCUGUACCACGACGGUGGAUCACCUGUUACCGGGUUCAAUCACCAAUCAAUACUCUGAUUGAUAACGGUGUCACCGUUCUUAUAGAAGAUCAGGCGGAGAGAGAGAGAGAGAGAGAGAGAGAGAGAGAGAGAGAGAGAGAGAGAGAGAGAGGUGUUCCAUGAGAAGCAGCUGCUUCAAAAUGAGCUCCUGAUUUUGGUCCUUUUUUGUUACUUUUAGUUUUCGAAAAUGAGACAAACUACCAAAUAUCUAGACUGAAAACAAAAAAUAGAAAAAGAAACAUCAGGAGGAGGAAAAAAACACAAAGAAAAACAAGAAAAUACUGAACAACUGAAAGAAACCCCCAACUGUCUACUGCCCCCAUCAGGAUGAACAAGGAAACAUCUCAGAUCUAGACCCCUGUUCCUACAGAGAGAGGAGAAACAUAGUAGUAACUCUGCUGAGAUUUUGAAGUAUUUUAUGUUAUUACUUUAAAACUCUUACUUUUUUUAAAGAAAUAUUUUGAGCUGAAGUUAAACUCUAACCGAGUAGUUAGUUAGCAUAUUAGCUAGCUAGCAAGCAGAGUAAGUCAGCCAACAGCAGCAGAACAUAGCAACUGUUGCUAAGCUCAGAAUGACCCAACCAGUCAGGCCUGAGAUAAUUCCCUACCCACCAGAGGCCAUAAGUGAGAAAAGCAAAAAAAAAUUUAAAAAACAAGUAUUGAAGGAAAGACCAGAGCGUCUAUUCACAGACUGCUACCAAAAUGGUAAUGCUUGUAAUCUCAUCUUUUACACCCCAGUGCCAAGAGCAUGGGAGUCAGCCAUCUGCUCACACUACCAGUCAGUCGAAAGAGAAGAGCUCAUCAAUGGGUGGCAAUUCACAAUUAGAGAUAACGAAGGUCCUCACAUUUGCCCCAUCACAGUCAACAUCCACACAACUGGGACAGUUAUGGUACAAGGUGACCUAAGACAGUUUGAGGAAGACUUCCAGACUAUAAAACAUAAAGUACAUCAAGCUCCAUCAAGCAGCACCACAUCUGAAGCUCCAGAAAGAGAAAAUGACCCUCCCAGUUCAGAUCUAGCUCAGAUGCAAAACACAAUGACCCCCCUUGAAGAACAGUUUAAACAACUGGAAAUAGGGCAAAAAAGUGCUCAACAAGAAAGAGACCAUCUGAAGAAUGAAGUGGCCGGCCUGACAGAAGAAGUAAGAGAACUUCAGAGAGAGAGACAGAGAGAGAGAGAAAGAGAGAGAGAAAGAGAGAGAGAGAGCAGGCAGAGCUGAACAUGCUGAUAGAGAGACUGCAGAAGAGAGAGAGAGAGAGAAAGAGUGAGAGAGAGAGAGAGAGAGAGAGAGAGAGAGAGAGAGAGAGAGAGAAAGAGAGAGAGAGAGAGCAGGCAGAGCUGAACAUGCUGAUAGAGAGACUGCAGAAGAGAGAGAGAGAGAGAGAGAGAGAGAGAGAGAGAGAGAGAGAGAGAGAGAGA